rnacentral:lncRNA from 1 species
AUUUUCCUUGUGAAUGCAGAACCUUCUGGUUUGGCUGGAACAUCAGUGGAGUCAGACACAGGUAUCCAUCUGCCUCAGCAAGAGGGCAUCAACAAAUUGGAGUGGGGCAGAGAAGAAAGCUGCUCCUUGAUGCAAGAAGAAGCUGUGUCUAACCUAUGGCUUGAACACUAGGCAAAGGCUUACAGCAGUAGCUGUCAGAAGAGAGAAGCUAUUGUUAACGAACAUCAAGCAAAUUAAUACAUUUCAAGGAAAUCCUGUUUUGAUGGCUGCCAACUCCCUCGUCAAGUAAAGAAAGAAAUCCUGCCCCCACAACUGACAUCUCACUGACUCAUUCACUUGGAGCAGGAUUUUCAUCCAUGAUACAAUUACUAUAAUAAUUCCCUAAAACCAAAAUGAAUAAUAUUUCACGAAGCACAGUGACAACAGGCAGGAGCCAGUAAAAGUGCUGGAGGUAGCCGCUUUCAAAGUAAGACCACCAGGUCCCGAUAAACAUCAGCAAUCUCUUUUAAUGUUAUUGCUGCAUAUCACUGCAUAUUUCAGCUGACUAUUUGUCGAAGUUCAUCCUGAAGGAUAAGCCCUUCGGAGAAUUUUCAGAGGUUCAUAAACUUCUAAUUAAAGUUUGCCAUAUAUUGUGAAAUCUGGCAGAGCAUUGUCAGUUGCAGUAUUAACCUUACCACAUUGCUUUAUCAACAGCAGCUUGAAUAAGCCAUAUCCCUUAAUGCUGAAAUAAUCUAAAUGGAAUAAUAAUACUCAUCCUCCCAAUAAAUAUUCUUAGAUAGUUGGAGGUUUAUCGUUGCAUCUGGAAGAAUAUUAGGACAUCCAUUUAGAUUAAGUUUGCAUAAUGAGAAUGGGUAAAGCUUUCAUAAUUUUACUUCCAUUUUUUUUUUUUUAUCCCCCAGUUGGACAAUACAUUUAAAACAUGCCAUCUUUCAUCACAGGAAAAUCUGGAGAUUGCUCUGUUUAGGCUAUAUUGGUCACUUAUCUCCUGAAAUGCUGACACUUUCCUUGGCUGAAUUACUGUCCAACCCAAAGCACAGUUAUUUUUUUUCAUAAUUACCUUGAUGCCAAAUAUUUCCCAGAAAGGUGCUUGGGAUGUUUUUUUAAAAGUACAUCAUAUUUUCAAGCUGUGAAAUGAGACCUGCUAUAGAAGUCUGAAAUCUGCUAUCGAAGUCUGAGUUCUGUUUUUUGUAAGCAUUAAUUCUUGUUACGCAUGAGGGUAAGCUGUGGGUCUAUCCGUACAGGAAAUAGUUCCCUGGGCAAACUGGAUUGUGGCUGAAAGCUAUCAUCCAUAUGGAUAGGAUUGGUGGCAUGUUUGAUGUGUGGACUGGCAUGUGGACUUAAGCUUGGUGUAAAGUCUGCCUCAGUCAAGAUCCUAAGAUUAUAAGCUCACCGAUUUGAGGACAACAGGGGCUAUUAUGUACCCUUGAACUUCAUUUUAUUCUUUCCUCACUGGUGACAAUAAAGGGGUGCCUGUCUUCUGAGACAGUAGAUUAUCAAGUCUGAGUUCUCAUACAAAGAGCUGAGGAAAAGUUUUUGUCCUGUGCAUGCAAAUACAAGUUCACUGCUUGGGCAGAAUGGGGCCUUCAUUUAUGCUUCUUCUCCAAAUCAUUGAACAAAGACAGAAAAAGACUAGCUUUCAAGGGUUGGCCUUGUAUUCCCACUGAUCUCUUGCUUGAGGAAUAACAAUCGUCUUGGUUUAAAAAAAAAAAAAAAAAAAGAAUAAAAAGAAAGCUCACAUGGAAACUAUUCCCCUUCCUCCUUUUCCUACUCCUCCUAUUCCAGAUAGCUAAAAUAAAGUCCUUGAUUAGGAGUGUUGUUAGCACACUUCCCAGCCUCUGGUUUAGUAAAUGAUCCAGAGAAGCCUGCAGUUGCUGUAAAAGUAGAACUGGCUGUGACAACUAACAUAACCUUUUUUUUUUUUUUUUCCCUGAUUUUUCUUUUUUUCUAACACGUUUUUGUGAGGGAAUGAGAACAGCUUUAUUACAGCCUAAUAUUCUGAGGCAGUGAGUGGCCUGGGGUGAUGACAUUUCAGAGAUAUAGAACUUGGAUGCACAAAAGAAAUCUGUGAAACAUGGAUAUGACAAGGUUUGGGAAGAGUGGGGUAUUUUUUGUUAUGGUUGAAAGUGUGUUCUUUUCAUAAAAGGAUGCAUCUAUUCACUUCUCAGGAAGUUGUCAGAAAACUAUUAGCACUUCCUCUGAGGUACUUGUUAAAUAGACUUGUAGAAUGUUGACUAUUAUAGAAAGAUAUCAUUGGUUUUGUGGGCUGAUUCAAGACAUGGAAGAUAUUAUAAACAUGAGCAAAAAGUGCAAAGUUCUAGAUAGGUGCUUUAAAUCAGAAAUAUAAUAGUGUUUCUCUCUAGUAUUACUCAAUAUAGAAAUUCAUUUGUUUCAGUGAAUUACACUGCAUUAUCCCAGC